GUCUACAGCCAUACUACCCUGAACGUACCUGAUUUCCUCUGAUUUUGGAAGCUAAGCAGGGUUGGGCCUGGCUAGAUGGGAGACCACCUGGGAAUACUAGGUACUAUAGGCU
rnacentral:rRNA from 1 species